GCGGUAGCCUAGUGGUCAAGGUUUCGGAUUCGUGAUUCAAUCGCGAGUUCGAUCCUUGCCCACCA